AUUGAACGCUGGCGGCAUGCCUUACACAUGCAAGUCGAACGGUAACAGGUCUUCGGAUGCUGACGAGUGGCGAACGGGUGAGUAAUACAUCGGAACGUGCCCGAGAGUGGGGGAUAACGAAGCGAAAGCUUUGCUAAUACCGCAUACGAUCUCAGGAUGAAAGCAGGGGACCGCAAGGCCUUGCGCUCACGGAGCGGCCGAUGGCAGAUUAGGUAGUUGGUGGGAUAAAAGCUUACCAAGCCGACGAUCUGUAGCUGGUCUGAGAGGACGACCAGCCACAAUGGGACUGAGACACGGCCCAGACUCCUACGGGAGGCAGCAGUGGGGAAUUUUGGACAAUGGGCGCAAGCCUGAUCCAGCCAUGCCGCGUGCAGGAUGAAGGCCUUCGGGUUGUAAACUGCUUUUGUACGGAACGAAAAGACUCUGGUUAAUACCUGGGGUCCAUGACGGUACCGUAAGAAUAAGCACCGGCUAACUACGUGCCAGCAGCCGCUGUAAAAC
rnacentral:rRNA from 1 species